GUGCUCGCUUCGGCAGCACAUAUACUAAAAUUGGAACGAUACAGAGAAGGUUAGCAUGGUCCCUGGGCAAGGAUGACACGCAAAUUCAUGAAGCAUUACAUAUUUAA
ensembl:snRNA LOC120094557 U6 spliceosomal RNA